rnacentral:rRNA from 1 species
UACGAAGGGGCUAGCGUUGCUCGGAAUUACUGGGCGUAAAGCGCACGUAGGCGGCUUUCUAAGUCGGGGUGAAAUCCUGGAGCUCAACUCCAGAACUGCCUUCGAUACUGGAAAGCUCGAGUCCGGGAGAGGUGAGUGGAACUGCGAGUGUAGAGGUGAAAUUCGUAGAUAUUCGCAAGAACACCGUGGCGAAAGCGGCCUCUCUGGAACGGUACUGACGCUGAGACGCGAAAGCGUGGGUAGCAAACAGG